GAUUGCCAAGAUGCAUAACUUUCCUGGUUUUCUUGUAUAUUUCAACAUCAGAGCAGGCUAUAACAAAAAGAAGUACCAGUAGAAAAAGAUGCCAAAUUUUCAAUUAAGUCUAAUGGGCUAUCCACCAUAAAUAAAUCAGAAUUUUUUCAAAGUCCUCAAGUUUUAUCUCACAGAAGUUGUCUUGCACACAAACGGUAUCAAAAUUUUCAAGGCAACAUUCUUCUGCCUUCUUCAUGAGAUUUUCCAACGAAUAAAGUCGACCAAGGUUGUGGAAAUGACUUCUAUUGCAUGCCUCGCUUUUGAACCUCAACUUUACAGAAUAGAACAUCUAUUUUCAUACUUUUCAUACAGGUAUGUGAUUGACUUUCAUUUUUUCUAUAUGACUAACAGUUUAGGGAACCCCUUAGAUUAGUAAAAGAAUAUAUCAAUUUAUCAAACAGUUUGAUUUGACUUUUUCAUUUCGGAUCCAAAGAUUAUAUACACUUGGUAUUUUUUAGAUUCUUGUAUGGUUGCUAACAAGACAUUAGUGACCAUUAGGUUGGAGCAAUUGCCCUGAAAUGUUUUGCCCAACAUUAAAUACAGUUACUGCUCAUAUCUUUAAAAUGACAGUCGUUAUCAUAUGAACAGAAGGUCGCAUUUGGAACUCACACGAGUUGUAGUUAAAGACCUUUAACUAAUCUUUUAGCGGCUAUUUUGUUAAAAAAGGGAGUCUAUCUCCGAAACUUCGACCGUCAUCCGGCAAGACUUCAUAAUGUAGUCUCGUGGUUUUCAUGCCAGAUGGGUUUACAUUAUGCCUGGUAGCAAAAGUGAGGGCUAAAAUACCUUUGUU